rfam:Aedes albopictus isolate Foshan contig99114, whole genome shotgun sequence.
UGCCCAGCAUCUCCUAUCCUUACCUCCGUGGAGUACCGGCUGGAAACUACGAACAACCUUAGGGAAGAUCGGAUAACAAACCCUGGUGGGAACUUUGGUCUUAGGCUGACAGGGAAGG